CCCACUCUGCGCACCGGGUGCAGCAGGAAGCGCACCAUUGAUUGGUGGGCGGGGCAGAUGCCUAUAUAGUUGGGCGGGCCGCUGCAAGGUGCGUGCGUCUUUGUUUCUCCCGCUGUUGCUGCGGUCGGCGGCUACAUGUCGGCUUGUGGGUUUGGUCGACUCGUCUGCGAUCUGUUGCUCUGAUGGCGUUGCCGGCUGCAGCUGGGGGUUGCUGUGGCGGGCGGCUUCAAUCUGGUCCUCACCUGCUGACCCGCUUCCUCCCGGGUUAGGCUGCGUUUCCACCUCUGGGCAACUGAUUGUGUGUGGAGCUGCAGCGCUUUGGACGCUCUGCUGUCUUGUCUUGUCUUCCCAUUGUUUGGGCCGCUCUCAACUAAACUUGUUGCUGGUUGGGCGGGGCAUUCCUCUUCUGGCCUUAUCCAAGGGCAUUUGGAACUGGAUGACGACAAAGAUUUGUUCCAUUGUUUGAAGUGUUUUCUUUUACCGUUUGUAUUUGUUGUUUACCAAUUUGUGUUUAUUUUCUUUUGCAUUGCAUGUUUUAUUUUAUUUCUUUUGGAAUAAUUGAACUUGUCUGUCCUGUUUCCUUUUGUCCCAGGGACCGAGUAGUGGGCCUGAAGCCUCGUUUUUAAAAGGAAUUGUUUUAAAGGAAU